ensembl:lncRNA
UUACGCCGGAGGGUCGUGGGACUGGGAGUACCUCGGCUUUGCAUCUCCUGAGGUAAAAAAAUCAGUAAAUGAGGCGAGGCGGUGACACUUAACGUGUCUCCGCUGCUUCCUAAACCGCCUGCUGUCGUUAACGCAUGGCCGCUGCAGCUGCUGACGUAGUUUACUUGUGUGUUAAGAUGGGAAGCCGUCAUUCCGUGCUGGGAGCCGGCGACCACCGAGACGGAGCGUCGCAGGUAAAGCACCGGCGAGCAAACGCAUGGCCUCGUUCCCGUCCCCCGCUGAAGACUAAAAGCUGCUCCGUAAGAACAACUGCAGGUUUUGUUUGAGGUGGUUGUGUAACCCGACGCCUCUCUGCAGGAUUACGCCGACAUCCAGUACCGCCGCAGACACAGACCGCGGCGCAGAGGAGACAUGCCGUGUCUGCGGCUCCGAAGCAGCAGCAACACGCCGGAGACGAGCAGGAGGAGCGAGAACUCAGAGGGCACGGAGAGGACUGAGGGUCGCAGGAGAGCGCUGGGCUUCCUGGAUGAAGACGAUCCCAACAUUCUCCUUGCCAUCCAGCUGUCGCUCCAGGAUUCCCGCCGGGCUCAGGCCCUGGAGGGGGGGCCGGAGAUGGACAGAGGUCAGGAGAGGAGGCCGGGUCCAGCGGGGGAUUUGGUCGACAUCGCUUUGCACUCUCUGAACACCGAGGAUCCUCCUGGAGCCAGAGGCUCGACCUUCCCCGCAUCCCUCCUGGAUCCUCCCCGUCCUCCCAACAGGACGGAUUCCACCUCGCAGCCAUUCGUCUCCAGCCCCAUCCCCAUCCCACCCCCGCCUCCCUCCCUCAGCGUGGAGCUGCUGGAGCUGGGAGACAGCCUUAUGAAACUGGGGAACAUGACCACUUCUCAGCACACGUACAGCCACGGCACGCUGACCGCCCCCUACAGCGACUGCAGCCAUAGACUGGAGCAGAACGCGCGGACUUCUCCGCACGUCACCGAUCCGUGUCACGACAGCAAAGAGCAGAGCUACUGCCACUCCUCUGCGUUUUCAGCCGAGGCUGAGCACACUGCCUCUUCUGCACUCGAACGAACCCAAAACGUGGCGCACCCCAGUUCCCAUGACUGGGAACCCACAGCUGGGUAUGACGGCCCCCCCAAACCAGACUGCUCCUACCACCCCUGCCCAGAGCGCAGCAGCUCCUACACUGCAGAGCGCCCCACCACCUACGCCCUGCAGAACACCCCCAGGUCCGAAGCCAAGCCCCCGGUCCAGUUGUGCCUCCCGUCUCCAGAGCUGGAGCCGGAGCUGCUGCUGUCCCCCGUUAUCCCACCGGGGGGCCCUUUCACCCCCAGCGACCCUCAGAGUCUGGAGACUCUGGACGCCACGGCGAGCGCUCAGCUGCUGGACAACAUCAUGGCCUGGUUCAACAACAACAUCAACCCCCAGAACCUGGCCCUCAUCCCCUCCCCACCCACCACAGAGACAGACUCCUCCCCCGACACGCACACAGAGACUGAAGCUGGGGGGAACGUGAGCCCCGCGCCAGUCUGGCAGCCCCUGGAGGGCGAGCCAGAAGCGGACCGGGCGGCGGCGCCGACUCCCCCACUGGGCGCGUCAAGCAUGGAGGACCCAGAGAGGUCCAGGCCCGGCGCGUCGGAGGCGGAGCACAGAGACGCUGCAGCGGAGGGUGUGGAUGCCGGGUGUGUGGCUGGCCUGUCGCUGGACGAAGCGUGCUCACACCCAUGUCCCACAGACAGAGACAUGGACACCGUCCUUCAUUUAGAGGAGGACAGGUCACCUGAGGAGUGGGAGGGGCAGGAACACCUAGUGUGA